AGUGAACGCUGGCGGUAGGCCUAACACAUGCAAGUCGAACGGCAGCACAGUAAGAGCUUGCUCUUACGGGUGGCGAGUGGCGGACGGGUGAGGAAUACAUCGGAAUCUACUUUUUCGUGGGCGAUAACGUAGGGAAACUUACGCUAAUACCGCAUACGACCUACGGGUGAAAGCAGGGGAUCUUCGGACCUUGCGCGAUUGAAUGAGCCGAUGUCGGAUUAGCUAGUUGGCGGGGUAAAGGCCCACCAAGGCGACGAUCCGUAGCUGGUCUGAGAGGAUGAUCAGCCACACUGGAACUGAGACACGGUCCAGACUCCUACGGGAGGCAGCAGUAGGGAAUAUUGGACAAUGGGCGCAAGCCUGAUCCAGCCAUACCGCGUGAGUGAAGAAGGCCUUCGGGUUGUAAAGCCCUUUUGUUGGGAAAGAAAAGCAGCAGGUUAAUACCCCGCUGUUCUGACGGUACCCAAAGAAUAAGCACCGGCUAACUUCGUG
rnacentral:rRNA from 1 species